rnacentral:rRNA from 1 species
UUUCGCAAUGCCCGAAAGGGUGACGAAGCGACGCCGCGUGAGUGAGGAAGGCCUUCGGGUUGUAAAGCUCUGUCAGGAGUUAAGAAAUAUAAGUGUGUUAAUACCACAUUUAUUUGACGAAGGCUCCAAAGGAAGCCACGGCUAACUCUGUGCCAGCAGCCGCGGUAAUACAGAGGUGGCAAGCGUUGUUCGGAAUUAUUGGGCGUAAAGAGCACGUAGGUGGGUUUGUAAGUCAGAUGUGAAAGCCUUCUGUUCAACGGAAGAAUUGCAUCUGAAACUGCGAGUCUUGAGUGUAGGAGGGGAGAAUGGAACUUCUGGUGGAGCGGUGAAAUGCGUAGAUAUCAGAAGGAACGCCGGCGGCGAAAGCGAUUCUCUGGCCUAUUACUGACACUCAGUGUGCGAAAGCUAGGGGAGCAAACGGGAUUAGAUACCCCGGUAGCCCUAGCUGUAAACGAUGGGCACUAAGUAGAGGGGUUUUA